rnacentral:rRNA from 1 species
GCGAAAACUUUACAAUGCUGGCAACAGCGAUAAGGGAACCUCGAGUGCCAGGUUACAAAUCUGGCUGUCGAGAUGCCUAAAAAGCAUUUCAUAGCAAGGGCCGGGCAAGACCGGUGCCAGCCGCCGCGGUAACACCGGCGGCUCGAGUGGUAACCGUUAUUAUUGGGUCUCAAGGGUCUGUAGCCGGCCGGAUAAGUCUCUUGAGAAAUCUGGCAGCUUAACUGUCAGGCUUUCAGGAGAUACUGUCUGGCUCGAGGCCGGGAGAGGUGAGAGGUACUUCAGGGGUAGGGGUGAAAUCUUGUAAUCCUUGAAGGACCACCAGUGGCGAAGGCGUCUCACCAGAACGGACCAGGCGGCAAGGGACGAAAGCUAGGGGCACGAACC